CAUAGGCAACAAACCUGGGCCUUUUUGAAGCAACCGACUUCGCUAACCAGGACUGUACCUGUUUCUUCUCAGAGCGGGGAGGGCUGGGGAGCUCCUCGCAAGCCACGGCCAAGGGCUCCGAGUACGACCAUGGCUACUGAGCCUUUCCACCGAGCCUUCCAGAACACAGCCCUCCUCACCAUACAAAACAUCAAUUUCCCCUAAGAUGCAGACAUUUCUUUUGGAACGAGGAACUGCUGCAGGGCCCCUGGGUGAAGCAGCUGGGGAAGGGUGAGUGGCCUGCAUGUCCAGAGGGACCAUCUACAAUGUCAGGUUGAGGACCGCAGCUACGCUUCACGAACGUCAGCCUCCUAGAGGACCUGGGGCGCCACUGUGCAGGUCUGCGCCUUCAGUGUGUGUCUUCCUCUCCUGCCCUCACCCUGCAAGGUGCAAGCACACGAUGACCCCUGCAAGGUGGAAUGACUCCAAAGUCACCACAGCUGUGAAGGGGAAACAAGGCACUUCCUAUUAUCAAGUUUCUGCAACUGGCAACAAGGGGAAAAUCUUCCUCCAGCUCCCUCUCAACCUGAAAUUCUUUUCAUUGUAAAGGUGAUGCAUCCUAGUGACAGUAGAGGGGGACCCCCAAAGAAAGGCGAGAGUCCUUCUUGCUAACCCUGCUCCAUGUGACCCUCCCCAGAGAGAACCACAGUGAAGAAAUCCGUUUCCUGCCAGGCCUCCCUAAGUGCAGACACACAUCUGCCUUUGGUUGUACACAAAUAGGUUGUAGGACAGUUUCUGUGGCUUCCUUAUGUCUACUUUUUGGACAUAUUUCCAGGUUACUAUAGAUAACCCAAUCUCCCUUUUGUCUUUAUCACUUGUUUCUUUUUGAAGGCAACUGAUUAGGCCACAGACACGCCCGAAGCUCUAAGUGGGGGCUGUCAGGCGCCUUCGCAGUGCGAAGGGGCGACAGCGCGGGGCGGAAGCCCCGGGAGACAGCCGUGCUGGAACUCCAGUGGCUCCAGCCAGCUGUCCUCCCCGGCUUCCUGACCUGUAUCGGUUCAGAAACCACAUCUGUAAAAUGCAGGUUCUACACGACUUAGGCUACCGGCCAGAGCAUAAUAGUUGCUGAAGUAAUGUAGUUCUUAUUUUUGUU